rnacentral:rRNA from 1 species
AACGAACGCUGGCGGCGUGCCUAACACAUGCAAGUCGUACGAGAAAUCUGGAGCAAUCUGGAGAGUACAGUGGCGCACGGGUGAGUAACGCGUGGGUAACCUACCCUUGGGUUGGGGAUAACUCCUCGAAAGGGGUGCUAAUACCGGAUAACAUUUCGAUCUCCACGGGGAUUGAAAUCAAAGGUGGCCUCUGCAUGCAAGCUACUGCCCGGGGAUGGGCCCGCGUACCAUUAGCUAGUUGGUAGGGUAAUGGCCUACCAAGGCUGCGAUGGUUAGCUGGUCUGAGAGGAUGGCCAGCCACACUGGAACUGAGACACGGUCCAGACUCCUACGGGAGGCAGCAGUGGGGAAUCUUGCGCAAUGGGGGAAACCCUGACGCAGCAACGCCGCGUGGGUGAUGAAGGCCUUCGGGUCGUAAAGCCCUGUCAGGUGGAAAGAAACCCAUCGGUGCAAACAGCACCGGUGAUUGACGGUACCACCGGAGGAAGCACCGGCUAACUCCGUGCCAGCCGCCGCGGUAAAAC